UACGGAGGGAGCUAGCGUUGUUCGGAAUUACUGGGCGUAAAGCGCACGUAGGCGGCUUUGUAAGUUAGAGGUGAAAGCCCGGGGCUCAACCCCGGAAUUGCCUUUAAGACUGCAUCGCUUGAAUCCAGGAGAGGUGAGUGGAAUUCCGAGUGUAGAGGUGAAAUUCGUAGAUAUUCGGAAGAACACCAGUGGCGAAGGCGGCGACCUGGUCCGGGAGCUGACGGCUGAGGCGCGAAAGCGUGGGGAGCAAACAGG
rnacentral:rRNA from 1 species